rnacentral:ribozyme from 1 species
CUCUGGGUUAGCCGGCCACCUCAACGUGGUGCCAGGUUGCAGUACUCUUUGCUAGGGAAGAGGCUAAGCGCCUG